AACGAACGCUGGCGGCAUGCCUAACACAUGCAAGUCGAACGAGAUCUUCAGGUCUAGUGGCGCACGGGUGCGUAACGCGUGGGAAUCUGCCCUUUGGUUCGGAAUAACAGUUGGAAACGACUGCUAAUACCGGAUGAUGACGCAAGUCCAAAGAUUUAUCGCCAGAGGAUGAGCCCGCGUAGGAUUAGCUAGUUGGUGUGGUAAAGGCGCACCAAGGCGACGAUCCUUAGCUGGUCUGAGAGGAUGAUCAGCCACACUGGGACUGAGACACGGCCCAGACUCCUACGGGAGGCAGCAGUGGGGAAUAUUGGACAAUGGGCGAAAGCCUGAUCCAGCAAUGCCGCGUGAGUGAUGAAGGCCUUAGGGUUGUAAAGCUCUUUUACCCGGGAUGAUAAUGACAGUACCGGGAGAAUAAGCUCCGGCUAACUCCGUGCCAGCCGCCGCGGUAA
rnacentral:rRNA from 1 species